rnacentral:piRNA from 1 species
UACAGAUCCCUCCUCUGCAAAUAUGUUGC